UAAGGAAUAUUGGACAAUGGAGGCAACUCUGAUCCAGCCAUGCCGCGUGAAGGAAUAAGGCCCUAUGGGUUGUAAACUUCUUUUAGACGGGACAAAACCCCUUUACGUGUAAAGGGUUGAUGGUACUGUCAGAAUAAGCAUCGGCUAACCUCGUGCCAGCAGCCGCGGUAAUACGAAGGAUGCAAGCGUUAUCCGGAAUUACUGGGUUUAAAGGGUGCGUAGGUGGGCUUAUAAGUCAGUGGUGAAAUCUCCGAGCUUAACUUGGAAACUGCCGUUGAUACUAUAGGACUUGAAUUAUCUGGAGGUAAGCGGAAUAUGUCAUGUAGCGGUGAAAUGCUUAGAUAUGACAUAGAACACCAAUUGCGAAGGCAGCUUACUACAUAUAAAUUGACGCUGAGGCACGAAAGCGUGGGGAUCAAACA
rnacentral:rRNA from 1 species